UACGUAGGGUGCAAGCGUUGUCCGGAAUUACUGGGCGUAAAGCGCGCGUAGGCGGGUCGUUAAGUCGGGGGUGAAAUCCUGGAGCUCAACUCCAGAACUGCCUUCGAUACUGGCGAUCUUGAGUCCGGGAGAGGUGAGUGGAACUCCGAGUGUAGAGGUGAAAUGCGUAGAGAUCCGGAGGAACCCCAGAGGCGAAGGCGGCGUCCUGGCUCACAACUGACGCUCAUACACGACAGCAUGGGGAGCGAACGGG
rnacentral:rRNA from 1 species